rnacentral:rRNA from 1 species
AGGACGAACGCUGGCGGCGUGCUUAACACAUGCAAGUCGAGCGGUAAGGCCUUUCGGGGUACACGAGCGGCGAACGGGUGAGUAACACGUGGGUGAUCUGCCCUGCACUUCGGGAUAAGCCUGGGAAACUGGGUCUAAUACCGGAUAUGACCUCCUAUCG